rnacentral:rRNA from 1 species
GGGUAUCCCUGGAAGCAUGCCCCUUUGAGUAUCGUUUCAACACAAACUCGCCUGCGUGCUUGAGCAAUCGAGCAUGCUGUGCGGAGAAUGAGCGUUUGGUCAUGAAUUUGGCUAAUCGCUUGAAACAUAUCACAAAAUUCAGUAUCAUCCGUUGAGCAUGUCUCACCUGGUUGAUGUUUGAUAAUUGACUUCGGUCAUCUACAUCUCACAUUGACAUCGGGAGGGUAUAUUGGACUUGUGUAUCAAGGAAUUGUAUUAUGUAAUGCUUAAUUGCAUGCAUGAUCUGACUUUGAUCUCAGAUGGAGCAAGAGAACCCGCCGAAUUUAAGCAUAUUAUUAAGCGGAGGAAAAGAAAAUAACAAUGAUUCCCCUAGUAACGGCGAGUGAAGCGGGAAGAGCUCAAAGUUAAAAUCGGUGUACCGAGAGGUGUUCCGAAUUGUAAUCUAGAGACACUUUUUCAGUCCUGACCCGGGUAUAAAUCUUUUGAAACAAGGUGUCAUAGAGGGUGAGAAUCCCGUCUUUGACCCGGAGUUCGGGGCGUACGAA